rnacentral:tRNA from 3 species
GCUCCUGUGGCGGAAUUGGCAGACGCGGCAGACUUAAAAUCUGUUUUUUAUUUUUGUGGGUUCGACUCCCACCAGGAGUA